UGGGGAAUAUUGCACAAUGGGCGCAAGCCUGAUGCAGCCAUGCCGCGUGUGUGAAGAAGGCCUUCGGGUUGUAACGCACUUUCAGCGAGGAGGAAGGGUGGUGUGUUAAUAGCACAUUGCAUUGACGUUACUCGCAGAAGAAGCACCGGCUAACUCCGUGCCAGCAGCCGCGGUAAUACGGAGGGUGCAAGCGUUAAUCGGCAUUACUGGGCGUAAAGCGCACGCAGGCGGUUUGUUAAGUCAGAUGUGAAAUCCCCGCGCUUAACGUGGGAACUGCAUUUGAAACUGGCAAGCUAGAGUCUUGUAGAGGGGGGUAGAAUUCCAGGUGUAGCGGUGAAAUGCGUAGAGAUCUGGAGGAAUACCGGUGGCGAAGGCGGCCCCCUGGACAAAGACUGACGCUCAGGUGCGAAAGCGUGGGGAGCAAACA
rnacentral:rRNA from 1 species